UACAGAGAGUGCGAACGUUGCUCGGAAUUACUGGGCUUAAAGCGCACGUAGGCGGCAUUGUAAGUGUCUGGUGAAAUCCCACGGCUCACCCGUGGAACUGCCAGGCAUACUGUGAUGCUCGAGUGUGGUAGGGGAGAGCGGAACUCCUGGUGGAGCGGUGAAAUGCGUAGAUAUCAGGAGGAACACCGGUGGCGAAGGCGGCUCUCUGGUCCACAACUGACGCUGAGGUGCGAAAGCUAGGGGAGCAAACGGG
rnacentral:rRNA from 1 species